GGGGGGGGUAAGCGUUGUUCGGAAUUACUGGGCGUAAAGGGCUCGUAGGCGGCCAACUAAGUCAUACGUGAAAUCCCUCAGCUUAACUGGGGAACUGCGUGUGAUACUGGAUGGCUUGGAUUUGGGAGAGGGAUGCGGAAUUCCAGGUGUAGCGGUGAAAUGCGUAGAUAUCUGGAGGAACACCGGUGGCGAAGGCGGCAUCCUGGACCAAUAUUGACGCUGAGGAGCGAAAGCCAGGGGAGCAAACGGGAUUAGAUACCCCGGUAGUCCUGGCCCUAAACGAUGAAUGCUUGGUGUAGCGGGUAUCGAUCCCUGCUGUGCCGAAGCUAACGCAUUAAGCACUCCGCCUGGGGAGUACGGUCGCAAGGCUG
rnacentral:rRNA from 1 species